GAGACGCGCUGAUGCAGGUGCAUAAAAAUUAAACUACGCGACCCAUUAAUCCGUUUUAGUCCGAAAAUGAAAAAGAAGAUAGUGUUUUGAGAGGAAUUAAGCAAGACGUUGUUUAAUAAAUGUAUUUUAGAAGCAGCGGAAACAGUCAGGCUGCAUAGCGUGGACUCACCUGUUUGGAAGAAUCCAUGUGAACGUGGAGGCCUCUGGAGAACUGUGACUGUCGGGAGCAGAGACACCUAAAACGGCAGGACAGGAGCUGGACAUCCAUGGCUUUUACAAUUGUGCAGAGGACAACUGACUUGAAAAUGUUCCAGCAGAAACAUCUCCACAUGGAGGGUUUGACACGGCUCUUAUGCUGCCGUGCUGGCUCCUCAGACCGCCACCCCCAGCCCCCCUGCACACCAGCCCCCCAUGGCACGGGGCAUGUAAUCAUCCUGAAAGUCUCUCUGGGUGUCUGCACUCUCAUAAAGCAGGAAAAUGGAUCGUGUGGCCCAGGAAGGACGGCAUCCUCGAUGGUUCCAAUUUCCAGCCCAUUCCCCAGUUUUCAACCCCUAUGACAGACAACACACACUAGAACGGCUGUUCAGCCGGGGAAGGGACUCGUUUCACUUCCUGUGCUACCCAAAAGAAGGGACACAGACCGGCGAUGCAGAGCCUGCUCGGACAGGGGGGAAAGGAGAGACGGGAGAUAGAGGAAGAAAGACGAAACAAGAUGCAACCUGAUGGGGCUGCAGAAAAGCAAACAAAACAGACAAGGAAGAAAAAAACCAAAAACAAAGUAGUGGUUGAAAUCUCCAGCUUGAUCUAAGGUGCAGAGACGUGAAGGCGCACAUGUCCUUUAUCCAACUAAUAUAAGACGCAACAUGUGAUUUCACAAAGGAAAUGAAAGGAUUUCUGACCUGACUUUCUCGUGCCGGCUUCGUUGUUCUCAGGUAAACUGCGGCACAACAGACUGAACUCCAGUCACAAAUGCAAUAACACAUAACUCAAUCACUGCAGCGAUGUUAUCAAAAGACACAAUUUGGCAAUGCUGGUUUCCCCUAAAUCAAAUCAAACUGCAGGACUGAACAACUGAAUUAACAAUUGCCAAGAUACACCUGAAUUCACACGGAGUGUUCUUUGUUUUCUUUUUUUUUUUUUUUUUAUCAGUGUGCUGUAACUGUGCUCCCCUAGAAAUUGUCCACACUUUAUUUUUUUUUUGUUAAACAUCCAGAGUCAGGGAUUUAUAUACUGUUGUGACAAGAGGUUUAAAACUAAUGAUGUGCCAAGAAACUAUCUGGUGACCUGGUUCAUUUUGAGAAGCCAUGUCAGGUGUGCAGCUGGUUGGAAACUUUCAGUGAACGCAAAACACCGAAGUACCUUCAGGAGGCAUAAACGACAACAAUCGUUGUGGGUGUUGCCUCUGAAAGAAGACUAAAAGGUUUUAGAAAAACAAAAGGUACAAGAGGCUAUUUAAAAGGAAAAGGAGGACGUGUCAGCUGGUAAUUUCGGUGGCAUAUAAUGAAGCUUUCACAGAUAACUAGAAAAAAUUUGUUUCUAUAUCUUUUUGAGCGUUUAACUUGUCUAACAAUCCUAAGCAUUUGGUAAGGAUCUGCAUUCUUUUGGGAAUACACUCAGAAAAGGUGUUGUUAAUGCUAAAAUAUUAGCAGGUUAGCGUGCUAACAAAGAAAACAUAGGAUUUUAAUAACUAAUUGAAAUGACAACUCUGUCUAAUGCCACACAGUCUUCUUAACAUCUCUAACCAUUUAAGAAAUGGAAAGUGAUCAUAAAGUCUGAGUGGUUGGUCUCUUUAAAAAAAAGCAAAAAGAAGUCUUUUUUAGACUGCUUUAUCAGAUGUACUAUGUCUUCUGUCUACUGACUUCCGCAUCUAUAAAUCUUAUAAAAAAUGUAGAUUUGUUGA